rnacentral:lncRNA from 1 species
UGGUAUAUAAAAGCGCGACAUGGGAGAGGUCAAAACCCGGAUCAAAAAGAAAGAAAGGUCAAAGCCCCAUCACCAUGUCUCACACACUACUAAUGCUGCCUUUCUUCCUUCUCCAAACCUAGUGGGGCCAUAGAGACCAAGAACAACCGUAAAAAAAUGUCAUAAACAGGUGAUAAAAAUCUGCCUCCCCCGCAUCCAUCCACAAAAUCUUAUGUCUCUAUGAAGUAUUGGGAGCUUACAUGCGUGGAGGAUGUCCUGCUGCUCAACCUCGGCCCUGUUUGAAGUGAAGAUGAUGCUUAAUGACAGUCGUGGUAUCUUAGAAGAGCCAGGCGACUAUGUCUAUGCUGGCCAUUAAGCAUCGUCUUCGCCUAGGACACCACGACUGUCAUUAAGCAUCGCCUUCACCUCAAACAGGGCCCAGAAUGGAUCCGGUAGCCAGGCGACUAUGUCUACGCUGCGAUGUGGUACCCUUGCUUGCUUGAUGUCUACGCUGCAGCUAGUUUCUGAAGUUGGGUUCCUUUUGAUUCAGGUUACCAGUUCUUCAUGGACGAGGAUGCGGAUCGAGUGGCAGAGCCGGCCUCGAUGUGGUGCUCACAAUCACCGGUUCGUGCCCCGUUGGAUUCUCGCCGGUCGCGCUGGCCGGCGAACCUAGGGGAUUUAUCUGUUGUUGCCGUGUGGAGAGGAGUGAGCGGCGUGGGUGGGUGAGAUGUGUUCUCUAUUCUUGCACACUAGGUGCUCCUUUUAUAGUAGUCUCUUCCGUCCGAGACGGGCACCUCCAGCAGUCAGUAUGGCUU